UCAUUGUAUUUGUCGAGGGUGCCCAUCCAAAACUGGUAGAGGACUAAGCUUCUUUCCAUUCCCGAAGACUAAAAGCUUCAGCAUGGUUGAGAGCGUGCAAGAGAGAGGAUCUUCUCGAGAAAAAUUCAGAGACACAUAAUUAUCGACUUUGCGAGCUACAUUUUGAACAUCUGUUCAAAGGUGGACUUUGGAAAACUUUAUUUGGUAUAUUUGUAUAAAAUGUUACAAAUACAGGGUGGUCCGUAAGUAAUGGCCCAUAGAGAAAUACUGGAUUCUUUACUUUUAAGAUUUUUUAAUAAUAAAAACUUGUUACUUAAAACUUCUCAUUAUUUAAAAGCUUUACGUUGCUCGUAAAAAAGUUACGCUCACAUUUACGUCUCACAAAUGGCUUAUGUGGUGCCCUCUAGAAAAUACAUCGAAAUAAAUAACAGAUGAUGCUACCAAAAAAAUUUACACUAAAAUUUUUACAUUCUUAUCUAUAACAUAAUUAUUACCAAAAUUUAAUUUUUAACUUCGACACCCUGUAUCUUUUUUAUUAUCAACAUUUUAUUAAGAAAUGUUGGCUCCAAUCGUAAUAUUUUGAGGUAAGGAAUCUAGUAUUUCUCUAUGGGCCAUUAUUUACGAAUAGUAAAUAAUAUUAUGUACCUAUUUAAUAUUAAAAAAUAAAUUUUUUUUUUGUGA